rnacentral:rRNA from 1 species
GAGAUGUGGGUAGUCCGCACGAGCGCACCCUACUUUUAGUUGCUACCAUUUAGUUGGGCACUCUAAAAGAACUGCCAGUGAUAAGCUGGAGGAGGGCGGGGAUGACGUCAAGUCCUCAUGGCCCUUACGUGUUGGGCUACACACGUGCUACAAUGGUACUUACAGUGAGAAGCAAAGAUGCGAGUCUAAGCCAAUCCCUAAAAGGUACCUCAGUUCGGAUUGUACUCUGCAACUCGAGUACAUGAAGCUGGAAUUACUAGUAAUCGCGGAUCAGCGCGCCGCGGUGAAUGCGUUCCCGGGUCUUGUACACACCGCCCGUCACACCAUGGAAGUUGGUUACACCUUAAGGCAAAGCAUAAAACCUUUGACUACGGUACGAUCAGCGACUGGGGUGAAGUCGUAACAAGGUAGCCGUAGGGGAACCUGCGGCUGGAUCACCUCCUUUCU